rnacentral:tRNA from 1 species
GCGGGUGUCGCCAAGUGGUAAGGCGUCAGCCUUCCAAGCUGAUAUUCGUGGGUUCGAAUCCCAUCACCCGCU